UUUUUUUUUUUUAAGUUCUGAGCUCGCAGUACUUGGGCCGAGCCGGCGAGAUCUCGCGAGAUGUGGCGCGGCUUCGGGGCCGCUUCACCUCAGGCUUGUGGUACCCGAAGCGGUGCUAGAGCUGCGGGUCGCCCCCAGCUCCGGUGGGUGAAGCGGGGGAUUUUCCCGUCGGGCCCGCAGGUGUUUCCGGAGUUGCGGGCGAGGUGCGCCCCCGGGCGAGGUCGGCUUGCAGCUCGCGCCGGCCGCCACAGCCGGCCCUCACUCCAGGCCUGAGCCUAGGGGGAGGCAGGAUUUCCUCUGAGCCGCCUUUGAGGCGGACGACACUCCGCCUGGCCGCGUUAGAUUUGCAUAACCAGAAACACUCCAGUGGAGAUGCAGUGGGUGUGUCCACACCUCGAUGACACCUUUAUUUUAAAAGCUGUGAUGUUUGAAGGUCGCGAUAACCUGUGAUUCCAAUUAAAGACUUUAAAAAAGAGAAGAGUUCAGCCCUUCAAGUAUUGGUUUGCACUCCUCAAGCCAGAGGAUAAGAAUGGGACCCAUCAUGAGCCUUAGGAAUGACAAUCACCAUCCUUCUACCAUUUUGCUUCAGAAUUUUUAAAAACUUAUACAAGUAUAAAAAUGCAGAAGACACCUAGUUCCCCUGAAGCAAGUUAAGAACUCCUCCAGGAAAAGGAGAAGAACAUACACGCCCACAGGCUGUAGUGCGUUUCCCUCUUUCUUGAGCAGCUGCCUCCUGCCAGAGACCUGCCCAUGGUCCUCCCUCAGAAUUCCUUUUGAACUUGACUAAGGCUGCCUUCUGGGAGGAAGUCAGCAGCUAUUGGCCAUCCGUGACUUACCUUGGAUCAUAAAGCAAAGGCAUGUGUUUGAAGACUGGAAAAUUGAGAUGCUGGAGCACCAAGGUGCUUAAAUCACCUUGAAGGGUUUUCUGGUGUGAUAAAGAGAACCUCAUAAGUUAACCUUCUCAGAGGACAUGACCCUGAGUGGAGGACAGUGUCUCCCAUGAGGCAGGAGGAAAGAAGGCAGGAUAUUCAUUCUAUAACUGGAAGCCUGUAUCUCCAACUCUCCUUCAGUCCUUUGGCCAUCCCCCUACUCCUCUCCCCUCUGGUAACUGUCAAUUUGUUCUCUGUUUAUGGGUCUGAUUCUGCUUCUGGUUUGUUUAUUCAUUUGUUCUUUUUUUUAGAUUCCACAUAUAUGUAGAAUUACAUGCUACUGUCUCUAUUACUCUGACU